GUGGGGAAUCUUCCGCAAUGGACGAAAGUCUGACGGAGCAACGCCGCGUGAGUGAAGAAGGUUUUCGGAUCGUAAAGCUCUUUCGUUAGGGACGAACGUGCUCUUUGUGAAUAAUGAGGAGUAAUGACGGUACCUAAAUAAGAAGCCACGGCUAACUACGUGCCAGCAGCCGCGGUAAUACGCAGGUGGCAAGCGUUGUCCGGAAUUAUUGGGCGUAAAGCGCGCGCAGGCGGGAUAUCAAGUCUGUCUUAAAAGUGCGAGGCUCAACCUCGUGAGGGGACAGAAACUGGUAUUCUUGAGUGUCGGAGAGGAAAGUGGAAUUCCUAGUGUAGCGGUGAAAUGCGUAGAUAUUAGGAAGAACACCAGUGGCGAAGGCGACUUUCUGGACGAAAACUGACGCUGAGGCGCGAAAGCCAGGGGAGCGAACGGGAUUAGAUACCCUGGUAGUCC
rnacentral:rRNA from 1 species